rnacentral:rRNA from 1 species
UACGUAGGGGGGCAAGCGUUGUCCGGAUUUAUUGGGCGUAAAGAGCGUGUAGGCGGCCAAGCAGGUCAGCUGUGAAAACUCGAGGCUCAACCUCGAGACGUCGGUUGAAACCGUUUGGCUAGAGUCCGGAAGAGGAGAGUGGAAUUCCCGGUGUAGCGGUGAAAUGCGCAGAUAUCGGGAAGAACACCCGUGGCGAAGGCGGCUCUCUGGGACGGUACUGACGCUGAGACGCGAAAGCGUGGGGAGCGAACAGG